ACGGAGGGUGCAAGCGUUGUUCGGAAUUAUUGGGCGUAAAGGGCGUGUAGGUGGCUUACCAAGUCUGGUGUGAAAUCCCACGGCUCAACCGUGGAACUGCAUUGGAAACUGGUGAGCUCGAGUAUUGGAGGGGGUCGCGGAAUUCCCGGUGUAGAGGUGAAAUUCGUAGAUAUCGGGAGGAACACCAGUGGCGAAGGCGGCGACCUGGCCAUUUACUGACACUGAGACGCGAAAGCGUGGGGAGCAAACAG
rnacentral:rRNA from 1 species